rnacentral:rRNA from 1 species
CGGAAGGUGCAAGCGUUGCUCGGAAUCAUUGGGCGUAAAGGGUGCGUAGGCGGCUUGGUAAGUUGGGUGUGAAAGCCCCGGGCUCAGCCCGGGAAGGGCACUCGAAACUGCCGAGCUGGAGUGCCGGAGGGGAGAGUGGAAUUCCUGGUGUAGCGGUGAAAUGCGUAGAUAUCAGGAGGAAUACCGGUGGCGAAAGCGACUCUCUGGACGGCAACUGACGCUGAGGCACGAAAGCGUGGGGAGCAAACAGG